rnacentral:rRNA from 1 species
AUGACUGCCCCCAGAAGAAAAUCUCAGCGUUUAAGUUCAGCAGCCGACGGCUGCUACUCGUCAAGUUCUGCUCGUGGGAACGAGCGCAUUGAUAUGGACGGUACUCUCCACCGUGCAGGUGCCGCUGUGCGAACUAAGGGAAUUCCAAAGAAUAGCUCCAGCUGCACGAAUUUAUCUCAAGCCAAGAAAGGCGCCUCAACCCGUGGGCGUCCUUCUGAUCGCGGUGCAUCAGGAAGUUUACACCAGACCACUGAUCCGGAGGGUGCUAGUGAUUGUCAACCUGCUAUCUACAUAUUGUUCAGCGGCCUUGUGGAUGAGGCGCCGAAGGAGACAGACGGGGAGAUGAUACUUUGGCGAGAGUUAUUCAAUGUCUUCAUGGACUAUGAGUGGAAACCAUGUGCUCUUGAUGAUGAAACAUCUUUGGAAGAGUCAGAAGGAGUAGAUGAGCUUAUGACCGAGAGUUGCCGCAGGACCCUCAUCCCAAUGCCACCUCGUAUGCUGACGCAAUCAAUUUCUCAGUUUGCCCUUGGCACACAAGAAGGUCAUGGGGCACCACCUAUCAAGGUGCCAUCGGGCCCGGCCAUUGUGUUGAGGCCUAACCAGUUUGGCAUUAAAAAGUUUGCAGCUCCCACUCGUACUUCUACGGUGGCUCAAAAGUUUAUUGAAGCACCCUCGAUGAGGUGGAUUGAUAGUUAUCCGCACCGUUUUCGUAUAGAUGUUUCUGUGUGCCGUCAACUGCUCUUGAUGAUGAUGUUGCUUAAUCCGGAAGAUAGUGAAUAUUUAAAAAAGACGGAUAUCAUUCUGGGAGUCAUGGCCUCGACUUAUAAGUGCCAUGUCGAUUCCUCCCUAGUCGCUGCCUUCCUGACAUAUUGGAACAUCGACAGGCACACUCUGGUUACUAGCCAAGAAGAGAUGGGAUAUCCACUCCAUACAGUGUAUGAUGCCAUGGGCAUACCAUUCUCUGGACGGUUAUAUGAAGAAUAUAUUCCACUACCCGGCACUGUGCAAGGACAUGUGCAGACUUUAUACCAUAUAUAUGUUGGUCUAUGCCCAUUAAGGCCUACCCCUAAGCCCGGGUUAGUGACUAUUGAAGCAUGGGUCAAUCACUUUUUUGAGGAUAAAUUCCACUCAUUCGGAUCCCUGAUGGCUGAUUGUUAUGCCGAUCCGGAUGAUCCAUUGCUGCAAAAAAUGGGUCUCCGAGUUGAAGUUCAAAAUAACCGCAUGUCUGCCUUUCUACGCGACCAAGCGAUGCAUUACCACCCAACAUACUCGUCGGUGGUGUUUCGGGCAGCUUUUAUCGCCGCAUGGCUAUGUACGUAUUGUAACCCAGUCGACGAGGGCCAAUAUAUCCGCCCCGAGGUUUUUAUCAUGGCAGUAAAACUUGCAAAAGGCAGCCGUCGAGCUAUUGGGGUGUCGAGCUUGGCCUUUUUGUACCGCACACUGGACGAGUUUCAUCAUAAGGUUGUGGAUGAGUCAAUUUCUUCAAUGUGCCAAGAACCGAUGUCCCUUGUUGAAGCACACAAUCUUUUCUGGGAGUUUGACGAAAGUGGAAUGGCCUACACUCGUUGGAUUUCUUGGGAAGGUCCAUGCCAGUGGUUAAUGCCUCUGAUUUGCCAGGAAAUUACCACCGGCAUGGAAUUUUUUAUCAAGUGUGAUGCGACCAAUGUCGUCGGCACUAUGUGGGAACUAGGGGAUGGUGUUGCCCCCGGUGUCCUUUGUUGUGAUCAUCGGGCAGUGACGCCACCAAUGAUGAUUAUGAUGGAACCAGGGGAUGGUAUUGCCCCCGGUGUCAAUUGUUGUGAUCGUCGGGGCGACGCCACCAGUGAUGAUGUAUAG